rnacentral:rRNA from 1 species
CUUCGGUUCAAUUUUUAGUGGCGAACGGGUGAGUAACGCGUAGGCAACCUGCCCUUUAGACGGGGACAACAUUCCGAAAGGGAUGCUAAUACCGGAUGUGACGCUCCUAUCGCAUGACGGGAGCGUGAAAGAUGGCCUCUACAUGUAAGCUAUCGCUAAAGGAUGGGCCUGCGUCUGAUUAGCUAGUUGGUGGGGUAACGGCCCACCAAGGCGACGAUCAGUAGCCGGACUGAGAGGUUGACCGGCCACAUUGGGACUGAGAUACGGCCCAGACUCC